AUGGUACCAAUGGCACCAGUGACACCAGUGACACCAGUGACACCAGUGACACCAGUGGCACCAGUGGCACCGGUGGCACCGGUGAGCUGGCAGCACUGCCCCCAGUCUCGUGGCACCAGUGCCCCCCCGUCACUGCCCCCAGUGCUCCCAGUAUGGCCCAGUGCCACGUGGUCAUGCUCCCAGUGCUCCCAGCCACCGUUCCCACAACUCCCAGUACCCCCAGUCACCACCCCCAGUGCUCCCAGUCACCACUCCCAGUGCUCCCAGUUGCUGUCCCCACUGCUCCCAGUGCUCCCAGUCACCGUCCCCACAGCACCCAAUGCUCCCAGUCACUGUCCCCAGUGCUCCCAGUGCUCUCUGCCACCAACCCCAGUGUCACCAGACACCAUCCCUUGUGCUCCCAAUGCUCCCAGUCACUGUCCCCAGUGCUCCCAGUGCUCCCUGCCACCAACCCCAGUGCUCCCAGUCACCGUCCCCAGCACUCCCAGUGCUCCCAGUCACCAUCCCCAGUGCUCCCAGUGCUCCCAGUUGCCGUCCCCACUGCUCCCAGUGCUCCCUGCCACCAACCCCAGUGCUCCCAGUCACCGUCCCCAGUGCUCCCAGUGCUCCCAGUUGCCAUCCCCAGUGCUCCCAGCCACCACCCCCAGUGCUCCCAGUGCUCCCAGUCACCAACCCCAGUGCUCCCAGUUGCCAUCCCCAGUGCUCCCAGGGCCCCCAGUCACCAUUCCCACAACUCCCAGUGCUCCCAGUCACUGCCCCCAGUGCUCCCAGUGUCCUCAGUCACCAACCCCAGUGCUCCCAGUGCCCCAGUCACCGUUCCCACAACUCCCAGUGCUCCCAGUCACCGCCCCCAGUGCUCCCAGUGCUCCCAGUAAGGUCCAGUGCCCCCAGUGCCGCAGCCCCAGGUCGAGCCCCCAGCAACGCCCCCACUCCUCGCCUCGAUCCCGUGCCCCCACCCCCUCCCAGUGCUCCCAUUCCCCCCCAGUUGCUCCCAGUUGCCCCCAGUGCCGCCGCCCCUCCCCCACUCACGCCGCAGCUCCCGCUCCGCGCUCAUCUCCGUUCUCCUCCGCCGACGGCUCCCGCCGCUCUCGGGUCCCGCCCCCCUCGGCCGCGGCUCCGCCAAUCGGCUCGGGGCACGGCGGAGAGGCCGCUCUCAUUGGGCGACGCGCAGAGUCCGCCUCCUCCCUUGGCCGCCGCUCCGCCAAUCGGCGCCGGGCACCGCCGGAGGGAGGGCCGCUCCCAUUGGGCGGCGCUCAGGAGGGCCCGCCCCCCUCCUGA
rnacentral:lncRNA from 1 species